rnacentral:sRNA from 1 species
AUGUACCACCCGUACAGUGCGGUUGCUCCGCGCCGUCCGCACCCACCUGGCGACUGCUCGCUACGUUUUGUCAGCC